CACGUAGGGGGCAAGCGUUGUCCGGAUUCAUUGGGCGUAAAGAGCUCGUAGGCGGUUCGAUAAGUCGGGUGUGAAACCUCCAGGCUCAACCUGGAGACGCCACCCGAUACUGUCGUGACUAGAGUCCAGUAGGGGAGCGUGGAAUUCCUGGUGUAGCGGUGAAAUGCGCAGAUAUCAGGAGGAACACCAGUGGCGAAGGCGGCGCUCUGGGCUGGAACUGACGCUGAGGAGCGAAAGCGUGGGGAGCGGACAGG
rnacentral:rRNA from 1 species